rnacentral:rRNA from 1 species
AACGAACGCUGGCGGCAUGCCUAACACAUGCAAGUCGAACGAGACCUUCGGGUCUAGUGGCGCACGGGUGCGUAACGCGUGGGAACCUGCCCUUAGGUUCGGAAUAACUCCCCGAAAGGGGUGCUAAUACCGGAUAAUGUCUUCGGACCAAAGAUUUAUCGCCUUUGGAUGGGCCCGCGUUGGAUUAGCUAGUUGGUAGGGUAAAAGCCUACCAAGGCGACGAUCCAUGGCUGGUCGGAGAGGAUGAUCAGCCACACUGGGACUGAGACACGGCCCAGACUCCGACGGGGGGCAGCAGUGGGGAAUAUUGGACAAUGGACGAAAGCGUGAUCCAGCAAUGCCGCGUGAGUGAUGAAGGCCGUAGGGUUGUAAAGCUCUUUUACCCGGGAUGAUAAUGACAGUACCGGGAGAAUAAGCACCGGCUAACUCCGUG